CUACGCUGUAUUCAUCUUUCUAAGAAGGAAAAAAUAUUACAUCCAUCCCUGAAAGCAGAAGUUUUAGGUGCUUUAAAAACAUCUUUAAGAAAUGCAUAGAACACCAAUGCACUGAAAUAAGGUUUAGAAAGAACGUGGCUGUGGACUUCAGGACAUGAGUGAGUGCGUUUGUCAAACCCGAUGCAGCGGCAACAACAGGAAAUCGCAUGAUCACGUUGGACUCCUGGCUGGCAGAAAACAAAUGGACAUUAGAUAUGUAAUUCAUGAAUUCUCGGUUACACUGAAAGAUGAAUCCUUUCUACUUCAGAGACUACAGGUACCAAAUGUACACCUCGCUCACAUAUUGAGGCUACAACUGGGGACAUCAUGCACGUCUCCUUGAGGUCUACAGAGGGAAGAUGCCAAGAGUGUGAGACUUUCUAAUUUGUGGGAUACACACAACAUUCCAGACUAUCUAAUUUCAACCCAGAGCAAACGGAGAGACAAGAGCUCGUUAAGCUUAGUUCACCGGGAUUCUAGUCUUUAUGCAAUAUGUGAUCUCCUGGAUGGGAGUUAAAGUUCACACCAAUAUUUCACCAAUAGAAAAUUCAUCAUAGGGAAGAAUAAUAUUGAGACAAAGCCAAGGUGCUGUGGCAAUAAGAGCACGCACGAUACCUAUAACUGCAUUGCAUUGCCACUUUCCACCCUUCUCCUAUGUGCCUUUCCACUGACUUGCAGAACAGAUGUUGGAGGUGGGUGCUGCAUCAGAUAUGUCCGCCCUCCGCCAACUACGCAAGUCAAGGAGAGAGUGAAAAGACCAUAGACAACGUUUCACUGAAUACCACUAGCUCUUUCCUAUCUUCCACACAGAAUCUUCAGGCAGCCUCUGCUCUGCUAAGUGACACAAAAGCUGGUUUCAAAAUUCAUUGACGAUUUUUUGUACCAUAAAAUUCGGUCGAAUCCAACGCAUCACAAGCUAGCUCCUCCGCCACCAUUCAAACGCCCCUCUGCUGAGGAAGGCAGCAGCACUCCUUAAGCCGCCGUAGGAGAGAUGGGAGACCCGGGGCUAUUCCCACUGUGUAAAAGCUGGAAUCCCUCUCGGAAGUCUGGCGUGAUAAGUGCACAGAAGGGCGUCCUAUCCUUGCACUGAUGAGCCCACUAGCUUCUCGAUUUGACCCUGGUUGCCUAUUCCACCCGAGAUUUGAAAGUGAAAAGGAGUUUUAAAUCAAGCCUUCACCCACAAGCUCCUGUCAGGAUUCAGAAGCACUUGCCGGAGUUUUUGUAAGAAUCCGAAGACAAACAGCAUUCGAAAAUAAAAUGCUAUUCUCCAAUAAAUUUCCCCCAUGCAAUACCUGGUAGAUUUCACAUUUGGAAAUUAUCCCACUAUAAAAAGGUAUUUGUGUUGUCUCUGAAAUCAUAAAUUCCAAAAUUUACAAUCACAGGAGUAACGGAAACCUAACACAUUCUAACCAGGUUCCUCGAGCAAAUAACAUAAUCUCUGGCACACUAGAACACAUGGUUUGCUUCAAACAUGUUUCAUUUUGUCAUCGCAUUGAGUGUACAGUAUUUCUCUUUGGGUGCAAGAGUGAUUGAUAUCGUUGGAAGAAUUGUUUGUAAGAACAUGAAAGUUGCCAAAGCAAACACGUUGGAGGGAAGUGUGCAGAAGAGGGGAGCAGCGGCAUUUGGAGUAGAUCUGGGUUUGGGGAGUUCAUAGAGAGGUGAGACAGGGAGAUGUAGAACAAAUAAAAACAUUCUGCACACUUCAUCUAAAUAAAUUAUAUACAAAUAUUGGCCUUUUUGUAGAUGUUAACAGCCCAGUUACUGCUCUUCCCUCGUGCCCCUAUAGAAUGUGGGCUGGAAGCCAGCUUUCUUCAGCUAAUGAUUUGUAACUUUUGUUCCACUUGAACGAAUCUAUUAAUAUUUAGAUCUCUCCAGUUUUAUUCCACGAAAUCUUUCAGCAUGGUAAAACAAAAUAAUCUAUUUACCUUCUGUUAUAUGGGUGCAAUAUUGACUUACAUGGCUUGAUGAUGUACAUUAAUAGGUUUUUCUUAUGCUGGGCUGAGUUGGCCAAAGGAAAAACAAUGUAUUUUGACCUAUUUUUCUUUUACAAAUAAUGUCUGACAGCACUCAUUAGACGGUGCAACCUUUGGUGUGUUAAUUUAAUAACUUCCAUUGCUGACGGGUAAAUAUUUAUUUUAAUUUCAUUUUUCUUUUUUUACUAUCAAAUUAUAGAAAAUGUUGUUUCUUCGUAUAACCAUAUCAUAAGGCACUGUACUAACUGAGCUGAAGAAUGUGAACCUUUUAAGUUCAUGGGUUUUUGUCAGUUGGGCAGAUAAAAAGAAAAGAUAUAACUAUGUAGCUGAGGCAUUCUAGCUCCUAGACUCCUCAGAAGUUCCUGCUGCUUGUAGCAACAGUUAUAACCUAUACAAUAUACCUGAUGAACUCCUGUCAUAGUCUCGUGUCAAUAACCCAUCCACUAUCAUUUUGUGGUUGUGAUAUUGAAAUAGAAAUUCCUGUUUCUGAACUCCCAGUGCCGUUCUCUUGAGUAUUUGGUAACCUGGACCAUUUAAACACUAUUUGACUCCUCCUGGAAAAAAUCGAGAAGUACUUUUGAAAUAUAUUCGGCUGAUAUCUCAGAUCAUGGCGUGA